UGAGAUGCAAUGGCGAGGAGUAAGACGCGGAUGAUGGGUGUGGUAAUGCAGUUUGACGGUAGGCCGGCUGGUGUCCCCUUGGGCGGGUGAUGCCACGGAACAAGAUCAACAAUGCUCCCCUGACCGCUGUCUCCAGUCAGCCACGGAUGCCGCUUAGCUUUUAUCGCGAAUAUUAAUUUAGGAGUCUAAUAUGCCUUCAACUCCAGUGUGCAUUGUGCUUGACAUACGGUUGCUUAACAGUUCCUCUCACAGAAGACGGAGAUGUCUGUCGUUAUAAGUAGAUAAGAUAUAAAAAGCACAUAAUGAGGAGGUUGAGGCGCGGAGCAGCUGGGGUACUGCAGGGUAGGGUCCGAGAUGGUUGACCAGUCAGUCCAGUGUGGUGCCCAGCUCGACUCCUGCACGGGACGCAACAGGUAGGCACGCUGCUGCUCCUGUACCACGCUGCAGCAUCGAGAACAAGGUAUCCUGAUGGCCCAGGGUACACGUCCAGCGUCACAAGCCCCAAGGGAACUGCCACCCGGUUGACUCGGAUGAAGGAAGGCGAGAGGGGAAGCAACAGACCAGACAGACAGAUGCUUGUGUGCCCUCACCACCACCACCACCACCACCACCACCACCAGUAUCAGCAUCAGCCUCAAGACAGACGAUCAAGAUGACUGUUGGGAGUCUGAUCCUCCAGAUCCAGGAGGAGGCAGACCGCGUGGAGGAGUAAGGUGAGGAAAACAAGGCUGAGAUUCACGACAACAGGUGGAGGACUGGCUCUGAAUCUGGCGGUCAGAGAAUGUUGUGUAUCAUGUCGGUAUUUGAUGGCACGAGUGAUAGCCUUCGAUUUUAUGUAGUGUGUGUGUGUGUGUGUGUGUGUGUGUGUGUGUGUGUGUCGGCGCACUCCUGUGGGCUGAUGUGCUCAUGCGCAGACGUCAAUAAAAUAUAUAAUAUCUGACAUACCGUUGACUUGGAAUAUAAAGUCCUCUCUGAAACUAGAGCUUAUCGUGACUUCAAAAAGUUUCCGGUGUAAAUAUGCUAGAGCGGACUAUGGCGUGUUGCACUAAUCUCUAUCUUUAUUAAGGUGCUUCCGUCCGCGUGACAUCUGGAAUUCUAUUAUUUUUCAUAAAUUUUGAAAAAAAAACAACUUUAUAAGUAAUACGUUACGUAAGUCGGAAUAUAGUUCUGGUGCACCUUAUGAUAAUAAACACAUAUUGCUGUUUGCUCGGACAGUAUUCAUUUCAACGUUCUCAUAGAUAAAGUUGCGAUUACUUUUUAAAUGCAAUGAAUAGAGACGACUGGCCACUUCCAGACGCUCUUGCAGCGUGCAAUGCGCGACGCCCGCGGGAAAGACAAUAAUUUAUUCGUCACUGGAUUAUUUGUCAUCAGCAGGGGAGCAAGAACUGCCUUAGUUACGCUAGAUAUGGCGAGGGACAAGGCGGGUGGAAGCGCUGGAGGGAGGGAGAGGAGUUGGAAGGGAGGAGAGGCAAGGGGAGGGUGAAUUACGAGUAUUGUUCACCUCAGCUCUCCAUAACCCAAUGACACGUGGGAUCAGGAGGUGAACAAGACUCGUGUGCGUGAUGUAAAUGCACUUCUAACUUUUCCAUAUUUCGAGGAAUUUUUUAAUUAAUUAAUUAUUAUUAUUAUUAUUAUUUUUUAUUCUUCUAUUCAACCCGUUCAUCUUAGACAGACUCGUUUGGCACUUCCGCAUUGACAGACAGCUAAACACGUGUACAGUAUAGAUGCAUUACGUUGAAAAGAAGCCCUUAUAAUAUACUAGUGUCAUUCAGUCAUAAAAUAAAAAGAAAAAAGCACGUUGAUAAAAUGUAAGCAUCGAGCACACACAAUCAAUAUCUAAUAACCUGUGCGGAAGAAUAACCGUUCACACUAGAAUGAUGAGUUAUAUCGAGUUCCUCAAAAAUCUGGUUCUCUUUCAUCCAGUAUUACGGUGUGAGCAAGAUUUGGUUUACUCCUCCGUGCAUGAUCCAUACGCCCUAUAUUGUGUACAGUUCUGGAUACUUAAACACCUGUUGAGGGAAGAAUAUCGAGGGGGAAACACAGAGCGGGAUGGAGAGAGAGAGAGAGACGGGUUUGGUGUGUGUUGCAAAGAACGGGAGCAGCAGACGUAGAUGCAACGAACAGGGAUAACUGAAGAAGACUCACAUAUGGUGCAAAUUUCCUGACGCUUGAGAAAUAGUGAUGGUAGAAGGUCAUGGUAUAUGGUGGUGUUAUUAUUAUUAUUAUUGUUGUUGUUUUUUUUGUAUUACCAUUAUCAUUAUUAUUAUUAUUAUUAUUUAUUGUUGUUGUGGUUGUUGUUGUUGUUGUUGUUGUUGUUGUUGUUGUUGUUGUUGUUGUUGUCGUUAUUGCUGUUGUUGUUGUUGUUGUUGCUGUUGUUGUUGUUGUUGUUGUUGUUAUUGUUGUUGUUGUUAUUAUUAUUAUUAUUAUUAUUAUUAUUAUUAUUAUUAUUAUUAUUAUUAUUAUUAUUAUUAUUAUUAUUAUUAUUAUUGUUACCAUCAAU